rnacentral:tRNA from 1 species
AGAGGUAUAGCUCAGUGGUAGAGCUGAUGCUUAGCAUGCAGGAGGCCAUGGGUUCAGUCCCCAGUACCUCAA